UCGACCUGAGCUCAGGCAAGAUUACCCGCUGAACUUAAGCAUAUCAAUAAGCGGAGGAAAAGAAACUAACAAGGAUUCCCCUAGUAACGGCGAGCGAACCGGGAAUAGCCCAACUUGGAAAUCUCCCUCGGAGAAUUGUAGUCUAUAGAAGCGCCCUCUGCAGCGGCCGGGUCCCAAGUCCCCUGGAAGGGGGCGUCGUAGAGGGUGAGAACCCCGUCGGACCUAGGUGCGGCUGCCUCACGAGGUGCUUUCGAAGAGUCGGGUUGUUUGGGAAUGCAGCCCAAAGCUGGUGGUAAAUCCCAUCUAAGGCUAAAUAUUGGCGAGAGACCGAUAGCGAACAAGUACCGCGAGGGAAAGAUGAAAAGAACUUUGAAAAGAGAGUUAAAAAGUGCUUGAAAUUGUUGAGGGGGAAGCGAUUGGCAGCUGCGUGUGCACCCAGGCUUACGCCGUUCUAACGAUCGGCUGCAUGCGCUGGGUGUUGGUCAGCAUGGGUUGGCUUGGCAGGAUAAACGCGGGGAUUGUUACCUCGUCUAUGCUGCCGGGCCGACCGAGGCGUGAAGGCCGCUCUUGUCCUUCGGGAUCUGCGGCCUCGAGAUGCUGGCGGAAGGCUUUCAAUCGGCCCGUCUUGAAACACGGACCAAGGAGUCUAACAUGUAUGCGAGCUGGUGGGUGGCAAACCCAUGAGGCGCAAGUAACCUGACUUUGGUGGGAUGGCCGCAAGGCCUGCACCAUCGACCGACCGUGAUCUUCUGUGAAAGGUUCGAGUACGAGCAUACCUGUUGGGACCCGAAAGAUGGUGAACUAUGCCUGAGCAGGGCGAAGCCAGAGGAAACUCUGGUGGAGGCUCGUAGAUGUGCUGACGUGCAAAUCGCUUUUCGGACUUGGGUAUAGGGGCGAAAGACUAAUCGAACCAUCUAGUAGCUGGUUCCCUCCGAAGUUUCCCCCAGGAUAGCUGGAGCUUGUGUGUCAGUUUUAUCGGGUAAAGCUAAUGAUUAGAGGUUCGGGGGAUGAAACAUCUUCCACCUAUUCUCAAACUUUAAAUAGGUAAGACGUGUGAGUUGCUUAACUGAACUCACGCAUUCAAUGAGAGCUCCAAGUGGGCCAUUUUUGGUAAGCAGAACUGGCGAUGCGGGAUGAACCGAUAGUUGGGUUAAGGUGCCGGACUACGCGCUAACCUAGAUCCCACAAAGGGUGUUGAUUGAUACAGACAGCAGGACGGUGGUCAUGGAAGUCGAAAUCCGCUAAGGAGUGUGUAACAACUCACCUGCCGAAUCAAUUAGCCCCGAAAAUGGAUGGCGCUGAAGCGCGUGACCUAUACCCGGCCAUGGGGGCAAGUGCGAGGCUCCCAUGAGUAGGAGGGCGUGGGUGUCGCUGCGCAGCCUGGGGCGUGAGCCCGGGUGAAGCGGCACCUAGUGCAGAUCUUGGUGGUAGUAGCAAAUAUUCAAAUGAGAACUUUGAAGACUGAAGGGGAGAAA
rnacentral:rRNA from 1 species